rnacentral:lncRNA from 12 species
CGCGGUGUCCGGUCCCGCCCCGCUGCCGGCAGCUCCCCCCCCCCCCCCCCCCGAGCCGCCACUGCGCCGGUGCCGCUGCCGCGGGCUCCGCGCCGGGGAUGCUCGGAGGAUGCGCGGAUGAUGCGCGGAGGAUGCGCCGGGGAUGCUCGGAGGAUGCGCGGAGGAUGCUCGGAGGAUGCGCCUGGGAUGCUCGGCGGGCUCCGCGCCGGGGAUGCUCGGAGGAUGCGCGGAUGAUGCGCGGAGGAUGCGCCGGGGAUGCUCGGAGGAUGCGCGGGGGACCCGCAGCGCCCAGCCCACGCCGUGGUUUCCACAUCCUGCUGAUACAGGAAAUAGGUAGCCGUGGUUAUGGAGUUCUCUUAAGCCAAGCAGUGGCAGCAUCCCUUGGAAAGUUUUUCCGCCCCAAAGGCAUCGGCAGCUCAGCUGGAGGGCUGGAGGUGAGGAGUACUCCUGUUACCAGCUCCUUAUUAAAUUCUCGGGAAUGGCUGGAAUUGGGGGUGAGUCGAGCCACACUGUUCCAGGCAGUGACUAAUGAGGACUAAUCCAGAUUGUUUUCCAUGUCUCCAGCAGAAGAAAGCGUGGCUUGUGUGGCUGAUGGAGCCAGCCUUUCUGGAAUGUGAAUAAGAGCUUUCUCUUAAUGGGCAUAGCUGUGCUGCCUUGAUAACUGCACUUGAUAAGCCUGCUGAAGCUAAAUAAGCAAGUUUUACCUGUGGAAAUAAAGAAAUAUUUAUGUUUUGAUGUAUAUGUGUCCAUUUAUAUGUAUGCUUGUAUUCAGAAAUGUCUUAUCCCACCUCCCA